GGAAAAGAAACCAACAGGGAUUGCCUCAGUAACGGCGAGUGAAGCGGCAAAAGCUCGAAUUUGAAAUCCUCUUCGGAGGAGUUGUAAUUUGAAGCUGGUUCUUUAGGGAGUUUUGUUUUUGGCUGCGGAAGUGCCUUGGAACAGGCCGCCGUGGAGGGUGAGAGCCCCGUAUCGUGGCCAGCAAGAUUUUCGUAUAAGGGCUAGCGAAGAGUCGAGUUGUUUGGGAAUGCAGCUCUAAGUGGGUGGUAUAUUCCAUCUAAGGCUAAAUAUGGGCGAGAGACCGAUAGCAAACAAGUACAGUGAUGGAAAGAUGAAAAGAACUUUGAAAAGAGAGUGAAAAAGUACGUGAAAUUGUUGAAAGGGAAGGGUAUUUGAUCCGACAUGGUAUUUAGAUGUCGCUUGCCCCCGUGGCGGGCGCUCCAUCUUUUUACUGGGCCAGCAUCGGUGCUGGGCGGGACAGGAGGUUUCUGUGAAUGUAGCCCUUCGGGGAACUUAUAGAACAGGAUUCAUACGUCUCUCCCCGGUACCGAGGACUGCGGGAAACCAAGGAUGCUGGCAUAACGAGCAAAUACCGCCCGUCUUG
rnacentral:rRNA from 1 species